rnacentral:lncRNA from 1 species
CGAUUGGCAACUGAUUACGUCGGUAAGGCUCGGCUCUGGGAACUAGAUGCAGCCAAGGAGAACGGCGGCUGCAAUGGCACUGAAGUCCGGCCUGAAGUUGGUACUAAAGGAUGCUUCAUUGCUUGCCAGACAAAUUGAAUAGAGUCUGGAUAUGCUCAGUCCUUCCCUUUGAUUUCUUUUCUUUUUUUUUGGUGCUUAUGAGCCACAGCCAGGACCCAUCUAGCGGCGACUUAUGACGCAAUUCCACGUGACACGGACAGCCACAGCCACAGCCACACAGCAGUCUCCCCCAGCAACCAGCGAAAAUGCCUCCGGAGCAUCUGGCUCUAAUUAAUCAACCAACACACACAUGGAAGCCCUGACAGCAUACACCAAGCUCGCCCUGCUGUCAAUAAUUUGGCACGUCCUGUAACCUCCGCUGCCCCACGACGUGUCGUUUGCUUCAUGUCAACUCGACAAUGGACCCCAAGCCCCCAUCCACCACAACAAGCGCUGCCUGAGGGUGUCCUCCAGGGCCGGGUCCAGGUCCAUCUAAAAAGCAUUUCGUCGAACUCAGCGCCUACUUAAUCAAGUGUAACAUGGACAUGUCCAAAGUUCACCUGCCGCUUGACAUAUUGCGCCGCGACUCUGCAGCUCUCCUGCUAGAGCCCUCAGCCAUGUCCUUGCUGGAUGGGAGACUGCUUGCUGGCCAGCAUGCGUUCGUA